CCUUCUAUAGUAAUAAUCAAUACACUCACACUGCAAAUGUGAGGAUCAACACAAAGACGGUUGUAGUAGGU
rnacentral:tRNA from 1 species